rnacentral:rRNA from 1 species
GGGGGGGGGGGGGGGGGGGGCGGGGGCGGGGAGGGCGAGCGGACGGGCGAGAAGCUUGGUUCUCUGAUGUUAGCGGCGGACGGGUGAGUAACACGUGGAUAACCUACCUAUAAGACUGGGAUAACUUCGGGAAACCGGAGCUAAUACCGGAUAAUAUUUUGAACCGCAUGGUUCAAAAGUGAAAGACGGUCUUGCUGUCACUUAUAGAUGGAUCCGCGCUGCAUUAGCUAGUUGGUAAGGUAACGGCUUACCAAGGCAACGAUGCAUAGCCGACCUGAGAGGGUGAUCGGCCACACUGGAACUGAGACACGGUCCAGACUCCUACGGGAGGCAGCAGUAGGGAAUCUUCCGCAAUGGGCGAAAGCCUGACGGAGCAACGCCGCGUGAGUGAUGAAGGUCUUCGGAUCGUAAAACUCUGUUAUUAGGGAAGAACAUAUGUGUAAGUAACUGUGCACAUCUUGACGGUACCUAAUCAGAAAGCCACGGCUAACUACGUG